rnacentral:sRNA from 1 species
UUUAUAUAUAUUUUCUCUACAAUGGAUUUAGUUUUUGGUCUACAAAUUCAUAUCCAUAAUACAGCAAUAGAAUGUGGAAAGGUGUGUGUGUGUUUGUAUAUAUUUUCUUGUGUGUGUAUGUGUGUAUACAUUACAGAGAUUAUACAUUAUCAAUAGGGGAGGGAGAGGGAAGGGGGUCUCGCUUUAUUAUUUUGUUAAUUAUUAAAUUACUUAUUAUUUUUAUAGCUUUAUUGCUAGGCCCUUUAAUACAACCAAGUGGCAUAUUUCUGUCAUUUUUUCAAAUAGUUACACAAGCUAAUUUUUCUCAAUACGAAAUACAAAAUUAUUUAACAAUUGGAGUUGUGGGUUUUUCAACUACAUAUAUAACUUGUGUAAUUUAUUUAUUAUGGUUUAUAUUGAUGUGAUGUUAAAAUAAGGACUGGGAAAGGGAUGUUGAAAGCAGAACUUAAUUGUUAAAAAUUUGAUAGUAUCUUACAAACGGAAAAUGUUUUUGCUAAUUCUACUACAUAUAUAAAUACAUAGAUGGUCAAUAAUGUUAGGAUUUUAGUUUGGGUUUGCUAUAAAUAUAGGAUAUAUAAUAGGGAAGGAGAGGAGUUUAACAUAAAACAUAAGGGAGGAGUCAUAUUAGUAUAUUAGUUUUGGGGGGGGUGGUAUUUG